rnacentral:rRNA from 1 species
AUGAAGGCCGAGCUCCAAAAGGCAUUUUCGGGUCAAUUAUCCAUAUUCGGCCCGGUACGCAUCUACCCGGCGAAACGCGACGGCCGCCGAGAUUCGCACCGCGCCGCCUCGCCGCCGCGUUCGACGAGGGCGCGAUUCGGGGAUGUUUGGGAUGCGGGCCAGCGGCACGGCAACGCCGCGGGCGGUGGGGCGGACGCGCACCUCCACGACGACCCGGACGAUGGCGCCGUCCCGGCGCUCCUCGACUCCCGCUUCGACGGCGACAAGUUCGACGCGCCCAAGCACUUCUCGCCCUCAUCUCUCAGGGCGUCGACGUCGCCCACAUCUCCACGCAGCUCUGUCAGAUUAAACAAGCACAACUUGUCUUGUGCAUUUAUUGCAGGAACUAUUGCCAAAGGAGAUGAGAUGCUGCAUCAAGGAGCAAGAGAAGUCUAUGCAUGCUGUACACAUGCUGUUUAG